UGCGUGGGACUCGUCGGUCCUCUCCUCCUCGCCCCGCUGUCCUGACUCUUCUUUCCUUCCUCCCCUCAGAGGAUGUCCGGCUUCCAGAUCAACAUCAACCCGCUCAAGGAGCUGCUCGGCUUCAUCAAGGUCCUCGAGUGGAUUGCUUCCAUCUUUACUUUUGCUACCUGUGGAGGUUUUAAGGGCAAAACAGAAAUUCUAGUGCAUUGUCCUCCUGCAGCUGACAAUAAAACUAUUACAGCUACUUUUGGUUAUCUAUUCAGGUUGAAUCAAGCAUCAUUUGAGACACCUCAACAUGUAAAUGUGUGUAAUGUCGAUUGGAAAAUGAAUUACCUCAUAGGAGAUUACUCCUCUUCUGCACAAUUCUAUGUUACGUUUGCAGUCUUUGUGUUCCUGUACUGUAUUGCAGCCCUUCUGCUUUAUGUUGGUUACACAAACCUAUAUCAGAAGAGUCAUAAACUUCCCAUGAUUGACUUUGUUGUUACUCUUGUUGUCACAUUUUUGUGGUUGGUGAGCACUUCAGCCUGGGCUAAAGCUCUUACAGAUAUUAAAGUAGCUACUGGUCCCAGUAUUGUUCAGCAACUUGAGCCUUGUGAGAAGAAGAUGACUUGUUAUUUUGGUGCUGUGACCAUAUGGGAUCCCUGAAUGUAUCUGUGAUCUUUGGCUUUGUGAAUAUGAUACUUUGGGGAGGAAAUGCUUGGUUUGUGUACAAGGAGACCAUCUUACACAGUCCAUCAAAUACUUCUGCCCCCCCAUAACCAAGGAGGUAUUCCACCUCCUGCUGAAAUGUAAUUACAGGGAAAAAUA